UACGUAGGGUGCAAGCGUUGUCCGGAAUUAUUGGGCGUAAAGAGCUCGUAGGCGGUCUGUCGCGUCGGCUGUGAAAACCCGGAGCUCAACUCCGGGCCUGCAGUCGAUACGGGCAGACUGGAGUUCGGCAGGGGAGACUGGAAUUCCUGGUGUAGCGGUGGAAUGCGCAGAUAUCAGGAGGAACACCGAUGGCGAAGGCAGAUCUCUGGGCCGUAACUGACGCUGAGGAGCGAAAGCGUGGGGAGCGAACAGG
rnacentral:rRNA from 1 species